AGUUUGAUCCUGGCUCAGGAUGAACGCUAGCCACAGGCUUAACACAUGCAAGUCGAGGGGCAGCAUGGUCUUAGCUUGCUAAGGCUGAUGGCGACCGGCGCACGGGUGAGUAACACGUAUCCAACCUGCCGUCUACUCUUGGCCAGCCUUCUGAAAGGAAGAUUAAUCCAGGAUGGGAUCAUGAGUUCACAUGUCCGCAUGAUUAAAGGUAUUUUCCGGUAGACGAUGGGGAUGCGUUCCAUUAGAUAGUAGGCGGGGUAACGGCCCACCUAGUCAACGAUGGAUAGGGGUUCUGAGAGGAAGGUCCCCCACAUUGGAACUGAGACACGGUCCAAAUCCUACGGGAGGCAGCAGUGAGGAAUAUUGGUCAAUGGGCGAUGGCCUGAACCAGCCAAGUAGCGUGAAGGAUGACUGCCCUAUGGGUUGUAAACUUCUUUUAUAAAGGAAUAAAGUCGGGUAUGCAUACCCGUUUGCAUGUACUUUAUGAAUAAGGAUCGGCUAACUCCGUGCCAGCAGCCGCGGUAAUACGGAGGAUCCGAGCGUUAUCCGGAUUUAUUGGGUUUAAAGGGAGCGUAGAUGGAUGUUUAAGUCAGUUGUGAAAGUUUGCGGCUCAACCGUAAAAUUGCAGUUGAUACUGGAUGUCUUGAGUGCAGUUGAGGCAGGCGGAAUUCGUGGUGUAGCGGUGAAAUGCUUAGAUAUCACGAAGAACUCCGAUUGCGAAGGCAGCCUGCUAAGCUGCAACUGACAUUGAGGCUCGAAAGUGUGGGUAUCAAACAGGAUUAGAUACCCUGGUAGUCCACACGGUAAACGAUGAAUACUCGCUGUUUGCGAUAUACGGCAAGCGGCCAAGCGAAAGCGUUAAGUAUUCCACCUGGGGAGUACGCCGGCAACGGUGAAACUCAAAGGAAUUGACGGGGGCCCGCACAAGCGGAGGAACAUGUGGUUUAAUUCGAUGAUACGCGAGGAACCUUACCCGGGCUUAAAUUGCACUCGAAUGAUCCGGAAACGGUUCAGCUAGCAAUAGCGAGUGUGAAGGUGCUGCAUGGUUGUCGUCAGCUCGUGCCGUGAGGUGUCGGCUUAAGUGCCAUAACGAGCGCAACCCUUGUUGUCAGUUACUAACAGGUGAUGCUGAGGACUCUGACAAGACUGCCAUCGUAAGAUGUGAGGAAGGUNG
rnacentral:rRNA from 1 species